rnacentral:snRNA from 1 species
UCACUUACGUGGCAGAGGGCAUACCUUUUUAGUAGCCUUGAAUGACAUGGUCUAGAUAGAGAGUGAAGCCCUAUGCCUUGCACUGCGGGCAGGCUGACACCUGUAAGAGUCUACAACUGCCUUCAAAUGCGAGCAUCUUGGCUGCACAAUUUAUGGUAAUGGGGGAUUGCUCUUAGGCUUUCCCCCU